rnacentral:rRNA from 1 species
GACGAACGCUGGCGGCGCGCCUAACACAUGCAAGUCGAACGAGCGAGAGAGAGCUUGCUUUCUCGAGCGAGUGGCGAACGGGUGAGUAACGCGUGAGGAACCUGCCUCAAAGAGGGGGACAACAGUUGGAAACGACUGCUAAUACCGCAUAAGCCCACGGCUCGGCAUCGAGCAGGGGGAAAAGGAGCAAUCCGCUUUGAGAUGGCCUCGCGUCCGAUUAGCUAGUUGGUGAGGUAACGGCCCACCAAGGCGACGAUCGGUAGCCGGACUGAGAGGUUGAACGGCCACCUUGGGACUGAGACACGGCCCAGACUCCUACGGGAGGCAGCAGUGGGGAAUAUUGCACAAUGGGGGAAACCCUGAUGCAGCGACGCCGCGUGGAGGAAGAAGGUCUUCGGAUUGUAAACUCCUGUUGUUGGGGAAGAUAAUGACGGUACCCAACAAGGAAGUGACGGCUAACUACGUG